AUUGAACGCUGGCGGCAUGCCUUACACAUGCAAGUCGAACGGCAGCAUGGAGAGCUUGCUCUCUGAUGGCGAGUGGCGAACGGGUGAGUAAUGCAUCGGAACGUACCGUGUAAUGGGGGAUAACGUAGCGAUAGUUACGCUAAUACCGCAUACGACCUGAGGUGAAAGCAGGGGAUCGCAAGACCUUGCGUUAUACGAGCGGCCGAUGUCAGAUUAGCUAGUUGGUGAGGUAAAGGCUCACCAAGGCGACGAUCUGUAGCGGGGCUGAGAGGAUGAUCCGCCACACUGGGACUGAGACACGGCCCAGACUCCUACGGGUGGCAGCAGUGGGGAAUUUUGGACAAUGGGGGCAACCCUGAUCCAGCCAUGCCGCGUGAGUGAAGAAGGCCUUCGGGUUGUAAAGCUCUUUCGGCCGGGAAGAAAUCGCACAGGCUAAUACUCUGUGUGGAUGACGGUACCGGCAUAAGAAGCACCGGCUAACUACGUGCCAGCCGCCGCGGUAA
rnacentral:rRNA from 1 species